rnacentral:rRNA from 1 species
GACGAACGCUGGCGGCGUGCUUAACACAUGCAAGUCGAACGGUAAGGCCCUUCGGGGUACACGAGUGGCGAACGGGUGAGUAACACGUGGGUGAUCUGCCCUGCACUUCGGGAUAAGCCUGGGAAACUGGGUCUAAUACCGGAUAGGACCCUGGGAUGCAUGUCCUGGGGUGGAAAGCUUUUGCGGUGUGGGAUGGGCCCUCGGCCUAUCAGCUUGUUGGUGGGGGGAUGGCCUACCAAGGCGACGACGGGUAGCCGGCCUGAGAGGGUGUCCGGCCACACUGGGACUGAGAUACGGCCCAGACUCCUACGGGAGGCAGCAGUGGGGAAUAUUGCUCAAUGGGCGCAAGCCUGAUGCAGCGACGCCGCGUGAGGGAUGACGGCCUGCGGGUUGUAAACCUCUUUCAGCACCGACGAAGCGCAAGUGACGGUAGGUGCAGAAGAAGGACCGGCCAACUACGUGCCAGCCGCCGCAGUAA